rnacentral:misc_RNA from 1 species
AUGAAUAAACUUGGUCAAGCUGUUGCUGGUCCUUCGGGACAUGUGCACGCUUGCCACCAAUUUUAACCACCUGUGCACCUUUUGUAGACUAGAAACGUUUCUCGAGGCAACUCGGAUUGAGAACUGCUGUGCGCAAGCCGGCUGUUCUUGUGUUUCUUAGUCUAUGUUUCAUAUACUCCGAAUGUAUGUAUUAGAAUGUAUUGCUAGGCCUUAGUGCCUUUAAAUUAAAUA